UUGGAUGAAUAUAGUCCAGUAAAGAGACAAUUAGAAACUAAACAUUUGCUAGAAGCAGAAAUAAUCCAGGAACUUCCUUCAAAUGAAACAACUGUGAUAAAUAUCUACUGCUUUCGGUUUUAAAUGCCUUUUUAUUGUGACUUUUGCAAAGAUUCCAAUUACAUUCUAAUGAUGUAGUAUGAACAUUUUUGCUUCAAAGUGAAUAAAUUGUUUUUAAGAAUGUAUUUCGUUGCUAGAAUGCUGUUUUGACCACGAACGUGUUGCAUCACACAGUUCUUUGGAAUUGUCUUAUAUAACUAACUUUAAACUCUCACACUCUGAUGAAUACAGUUAUGACACUACACAUACUAAUGUGUUAAUAUCCGUUGCUAAAAAAAAGAAAUUCUUUUGAAUUGGUUUCACUUUUCAAAUAAUUUUCCCAAUAAUCUGAAUGUAAACUUGUAUGCAUGUAAAAACAUUAUUUUACAUCGACUUGGUUCGUGAUGAUUAAAUAUGCACAGUGGAACUGUAAGUUAUCGCUCAAAAUAUACAGAAUUUGAAUUUGACAUGUACAAUUCUAUCUCUCAUGAUGUAUAUCUUCGUGUGCAUAUGACGAUUAUGUAGAUUCAAAUUAUUGUAUAUUUCAACCGC
rnacentral:lncRNA from 1 species